UUCAGAUUGUGCUGAAAGAAAAAGAGAAUUAAGGGCAAAAAGGAAGAAAGGAAGGGAGUUGAGAAUUCUGAGAUUUAGGAGAGGAAUCAAGGUGAUUUGAAGCAAUUGAAGCCAAACAAGAAUCGAGAUUGGUCAGAGCUUGUGAAAUCAGAGGGCAUAGCUUGGAGCUGGAAUCAAGGGAGCUUAAGGAUGAAUUCUCUACUUGAGGUAAAGGCAAAGAGAAAGUCCACCAGUCAUGAGUACGGAGAGCGUGGGGGCGGCGCGUACAUGUUUGGCCUACCCGACUGCUUUGGUUGGGGGCAUUUUGAGAAAUGGCUAUAUUAAACUAUGUUUUUGAUAAUUAGUCAUUUGUAAAUCUAUUUUGAAUUGUAAAUAUUUUACAAACCCCGUUUUGGGAUCCCAAAUGUUAA